rnacentral:rRNA from 1 species
AAUCAACGCUGGCGGCGUGCCUCAGACAUGCAAGUCGAACGAUUAAAGCUCUCUUCGGAGAGUGUAUAGAGUGGCGCACGGGUGAGUAACACGUAAGUAAUCUACCCUCGAGUGGGGAAUAACAACCGGAAACGGUUGCUAAUACCGCAUAAUGCAGCGGCACCGCAAGGUGACAGUUGUUAAAGAUUUAUCGCUUGAGGAGGAGCUUGCGGCAGAUUAGCUAGUUGGUAGGGUAACGGCUUACCAAGGCUACGAUCUGUAACCGGUCUAAGAGGACGGUCGGUCACACUGACACUGAAUAACGGGUCAGACUCCUACGGGAGGCAGCAGUCGGGAAUUUUGGGCAAUGGGCGAAAGCCUGAUCCAGCAACGCCGCGUGAAGGAUGAAGUAUUUCGGUAUGUAAACUUCGAAAGAAUAGGAAGAAUUAAUGACGGUACUAUUUAUAAGGUCGGCUAACUACGUGCCAGCAG